rnacentral:rRNA from 1 species
UAAAGUGGCGCACGGGUGAGUAACACGUGGAUCAUCUACCUUUUAAUGGGGAAUACCUCUGGGAAACCGGAGACAAUACCGCAUAAGCCUGUAAAGGGAAAGCAGCAAUGCGCUGAAAGAGGAGUCCGCGGCCGAUUAGCUAGUUGGCGGGGUAAUGGCCCACCAAGGCGAAGAUCGGUAGCCGGCCUGAGAGGGCACACGGCCACACUGGCACUGAAACACGGGCCAG